rnacentral:tRNA from 2 species
GGGCCAGUGAUCUAGUGGCUAUGAUGGCUCCCUUACAAGGAGCAUGUCGAAGGUUCGAGUCCUUCCUGGCCCACCA